GAUGGAGGAUUUAAAAGGUUUGCCGCUGACUGUCUUUGCGAACUGGCACCUUUUCUAACUGUGCCUCUUUCAUGUCUGCCUGCAGGUGAUGUGGCCCCCUACUUCAAAACGGAGCCGGGACCUCCAGAGAUCCACCUAGAAGGGAACCGUCUGGUCAUGACCUGCCUGGCGGAGGGCAGCUGGCCUCUGGAGUUCAAAUGGAUACUCAACAACACAGAUAUCACAGCCUUCUCCCCCGAGUACAAGUACACCAUCUCCUCUCUCCAACGCUCCAAUAUGGGCGUUUAUCAGUGUGUGGUGAGAAACAGGAUGGGCGCUCUGCUUCAGAGAAGAGCCGAGAUACAAGUGGCAUAUAUGGGAGACUUUCUCGACAAUGACCAAAGAAAGACAGUGACACAGGGCCGGGCCGCCAUCCUAAACUCCCCAGCAGUCAGUUGCUUCCCGCGGCCACAGGUGACAUGGUUCAGGGACGGUUACAAGAUCAUUCCAAGCAACAGAGUAGCCAUAACGUUGGAGAACCAGCUAGUGGUGCUCGCCACGGCCGCGGUGGACGCCGGGAGGUACUACGUACAGGCUGUUAAUGAGAAGAAUGGAGAAAACAAGACAAGCCCAUCCAUUUACCUGAAUGUGGCAGAUUCAGAGGCCCCCGCGGACCCUGUGGCUCCAGUGAUUGUAAUCCCACCCCGAAACACUACAGUGGUGGCCGGGGUCAGUGAGGCCACACUGGAGUGUGUUGCUAAUGCACGUCCGGUUGAGAAGCUCAGUUUGGUGUGGCGGAGAAACUCUGUGGAAGUGGCCAGUGGCGUGGGCUCCUUCGGCCGGCGCUUGACCAUCAUCAACCCAACGAGUGCCGAUGUGGGCAUGUACGUGUGCGAAGCCUCACUUUUGGACAGCAGCGUGAAACCGGCAGAGGCCAGAGCCUUCCUCUCCAUCACAGAGGCACCCUAUUUCACCGCUGAGCCCAGGAGAAAGAUGAUGGGAGAGGUGGAGAAAAGCGUGGAUAUCCAGUGCCAAGCUCGAGGGGUGCCCAUGCCGAAGCUGGAGUGGUAUAAGGAUGCCGUGCCCCUCAGUAAACUCAACAACCCUCGCUACAAGGUCAUUUCCAGCAUGGGGCUUCAGGUCAGGAAGCUACAGCCCAGCGAUGCCGGAAUCUUCCAGUGCUUCGCCAGGAACUCGGCCGGAGAGGCUCAGGUCCACACUUACCUGGACAUCACUAGUAUGGCUCCGGGCUUCACCGCGGCACCGGUCGACAUCACUGUCACAGAUGGAGCGGUGGCCAUGUUCACCUGUCAGGUAUCUGGGGCCCCUAAACCUGCCAUCACAUGGAAGAGAGGUAAAAUCCUUGCCAGCGGUUCGGUGCAAAUUCCACGUUUCACCCUGCUGGAGUCCGGCGGUCUGCAGAUUCAACCGGUGGUGCUGCAGUACACGGGGAUGUACACCUGCUACGCCGCUAACUCAGAAAGAGUAAUCAACGCCAGCGCCUCCCUCACCGUAUGGAGUCGCACGUCCAUAUCCAGGCCUCCCAUGGACAGACGUGUCAUUAAGGGGACCACAGCCAUUUUGGAGUGCGCCGCCACCCACGACCCGCGUGUGGCAGUGAGGUACGUGUGGAAAAAGGAUGAGGAGUUAGUGAGCCAGACCAGAGGGGGGCGUAUCACCCUGCAGGAGGGCUCCUUGCACAUCAGUCAAACCUGGUCCGGGGACAUCGGGGACUAUACCUGUGACGUCAUCUCUCAAGCCGGCAACGACUCCAAGGCGGCCCGUCUGGAGGUCAUAGAGCUGCCACAUUCGCCCCGAAACCUACAGGCCAGCCUGAACGCCAACGACAGCCGCAGCGUGGAUCUGUCCUGGAUGAGACCCUUCGAUGGAAACAGCCCCCUACUGCAUUAUGUGGUGGAGCUUUCAGAGAACAAUUCUCCCUGGAGAGUGUAUUUGCCUGAUGUGGACCCCACCGUGACUGGAGCCAUGGUGAAGGGCCUGACUCCGGCCCGCUCGUACCAGUUCAGAGUUUGCGCAGUCAAUCAGGUUGGCAAGGGACAGUACAGCACCGAAACCAACAGAUUGACGCUGCGAGAGGAACCGCCCAGCGCUCCGCCCAAGAACAUCGUAGCCAGCGGCAGAACCAACCAAUCCAUUAUGGUGCAGUGGCAGCCACCUCCGGAGCCUCAGCUCAAUGGAGUCUUGAGAGGCUACGUCCUCAGGUACCGGCUCGCCGGGCUCCCUGGAGAGUACCAGCAGAAGAACAUCACCAGCCCUGAGAUCAACUACUGCCUGAUCACAGAGCUCAUCAUCUGGACCCAGUAUGAGAUUCAGGUGGCCGCGUAUACCGGGGCAGGCCUGGGCGUCUUCAGUCAGCCUGUCACUGAGUACACGCUACAGGGAGUUCCCACAGCUCCCCCUCAGGGUGUGGAGGUCAAGGCAGUAAACUCAACCACAAUUGAAUUUACCUGGAAUCCACCGCCUCAGCAGUUCAUCAAUGGCAUUAAUCAAGGUUACAAGCUGAUGGCGUGGCCUGAACGAUCUCCAGAGGAUGUUAUCAUCGUGACCAUCACCCCUGAUUAUCACGGGACACGCCACCUCGGUUACAUCAGCGGUCUAAAAAAGUUCACCUGGUACUUGACGUCAGUGCUGUGUUUUACCACACCAGGGAAUGGACCCCGCAGUGUCCCCAAACUGGUGCAGACUCACGAGGACAUUCCAGGCCCUGUUGGUCGCUUGAGCUUUACAGAGAUUUUGGACACGUCUCUGAGAGUGAGCUGGGAGGAACCCGUGGACAAGAACGGCAUUGUUACUGGUUACCUGGUGUCCUGGGAAGUUCAGGGGAAGAACCAAUCGCGAGUGGCGCGUACUUUGACCAACUCCACGUUGGACUACAAGGUCACCGGUCUGACGUCCCUCACUACGUACACGCUAGAGGUGGCAGCUAUGACGGAGGCGGGCGUAGGAACUGUAACUUCCUCCACCAUUUCAUCCGGAGUGCCACCAGAACUUCCCGGGCCUCCAUCAAAUUUGGUUAUUUCCAAGAUCAGUUCACGAUCUGCUACGCUGAAGUUCCGUGCAGGGGAUGAUGGGAAGACGACCAUCUCCAAGUGGAUCGUUGAGGGGCAGGUUGGCAGUAUCGGUGAAGAGGAAGAGUGGAAGGUGUUGUACGUGAAAGAGAAUGACCCUGAAGCUCAGGUGCUGGAGGUGCCCAAUCUCACACCGUUCACACACUACAGGUUCCGAAUGCGUCAGGUGAAUAUUGUGGGCCCGAGUCCGGUGAGCGUGCCGUCCCGUGUAAUUCAAACCCUGCAGGCUCCUCCAGACAAGGCGCCCAGCAGUGUGACGGUGCGCACGGCCAGUGAGACCAGCCUCUGGCUACGCUGGGUGCCACUGCCGGAGACUGAGUACAAUGGAAACCCGGAGAGCGUGGGCUACAGGGUCAGAGUGUUGCGAGCGGACCUGCGGGGUGAGGCCAGCACACGAUUGGUGAACGACAGACUGGAGAGGGAGAUCACCCUGGAGGGUCUGGAGGAGUGGACCGAAUACCAGCUGCAGAUCCAGGCCUUUAAUUCCAUAGGCCCCGGGCCCUGGAGUGAGCCUUUGAAGGGACGUACGCGUGAGUCAGUGCCAUCGGGGGCUCCGGAAAAUGUGACGGUGGAGGCCAUGAGCUCCAGUCGCAUCCUGGUAACCUGGGGCUCGGUUCCUGAGCAUGAGCAGAAUGGCAACAUCCUCGGAUAUAAGGUUAUGUACAAAGAGAAAGACUCAGAUUCGGAGGCACAGGUGAAUGUGGUUAAAGGCAACCUGACACAGUCUGUCUUACUGAGGAACCUGCGUAAAUACGUCCAGUAUGAAAUCCAAGUUUUGGCUUUCACACGAAUUGGAGAUGGGCAGCUCAGCAGCCCCCCAGUCUUGGAGAGGACCAAGGAUGAUGUUCCCGGACCACCUAUGAGACUUGUGUUCCCGGAGGUGCGUCUCACAGAAGUGAGGGUGGUCUGGCAACCCCCUGUGGACCCCAAUGGCAUAAUUAUGGGAUACCAGGUAGCUUACCGUCUGGAUUCUGGGGAUCCCAACCAGUUCAUCACAGUAGAGGUGGGCCCUGAUACCCGUCAGUUCACCGCCUCCAACUUGACCCCGGAGUCGGCCUACAUCUUUCGCAUCUCUGCCAAGACGGAGCAGGGCUGGGGAGCACCUGCACAGGCUGUGGUCAUAACUACUGAGAUCAGAGAGCGACCGCAGCCUCCACGGCAGCUGCGGGUGCCUCAGGACCACGUGCAGUCCCGCAAAUUGCAGCUCAACUGGGUGCCCGGAGGGGACGGCUCCUCUCCUGUCCGUUACUUCACCCUGCAGACACGGGAGCUGCCCAGAGGAGACUGGCUCACCCAUUCUUCUGCUAUAAGCCACAAUUAUACCUCCUGGGAAGUGGACAGGCUGAAACCCUUCACUUCAUACAAGCUCAGAAUGAUGGCGACUAAUGACGUCGGCGACAGCAAGUACAGCCAAGAGACGGAUGCAAUUACCACUUUACAAGAUGGUGAUGUGAAUGGGGUUCUGGUGGGCUAUCGGCUCUACUACCGCGAGCUGCAGUAUGACAGCGCACCGCAGGAGUCAAAGCGGGCCGUCAACAGCUCCUUGCUGCGCACCGAACUGACAGAGCUGCAGAAAUACAGACGCUAUGAAAUUGUGAUGACUGCCUACAACGUCAUUGGCGAAAGCCCUCCAAGUGCUCCAGUAGAGGUGUUUGUUGGAGAAGCAGCUCCCUCUGUGGCUCCUCAGAACAUCCAGAUCAACACUUUGUCAUCCACACAGCUGGAGGUGCAGUGGGAGCCGCCCCCUGCCGAGACCCAAAAUGGCAUUAUUCAGGGAUAUAAGAUUCUUUACUGGGAGAUGGACAAUCAGAAUGAAACAGAGAGAGUUAAGAUUCUCUUCCGGCCUGAAACCAACAUGAGACUGAAGAACCUGACCAGCUACACAUACUAUAUGGUCAAGCUGUCCGCCUUCAAUGCUGCUGGAGACGGUCCCUUCAGUGAGCCCAGGAGGGGGCGCACUCUUCAGGCAGCCCCCAGCGCUCCCAGCUUCAUCAGUUUCUCCGAGGUGACCAGCAGCACUCUGAACGUGUCCUGGGGUUUCCCGCUGUCCCCCAACGGUGUGGUGGAAGGCUACAGGGUGGUAUAUGAGCCCAGCGCCCCUAUUCAAGGUGUGACUAAAGUGGUAACGGUGGAUAUCCGUGGCAGCUGGCAGCGCUGGCUGAAGGUGCGUGACCUGACCAAGGGUGUAACCUAUUGCUUCCGCGUGCAGGCCAAGACUAUUGCCUACGGGCCUGAGGCAGAGGCCAACAUUACAGCGGGUCCUGUCAAAGGGUCUCCUGGAUCUCCUGUAGAAAUGUCAAUCUCAAAGACAGGAUCCAUGCUCAACAUCCACUGGACACCAGGAGAUACAGGAGCAGGACAUGUGACCGGCUAUGUGAUCGAGGCACGCCCAUCAGAUGAAGGGAUGUGGGAUACGUUUGUGCGGCACUUGCCUCCCACCAGCACCUCUCACUCAGUGAGUCUAGACCGCCUGCGGCAGGGUAUCAGCUACCAGUUCAGAGUGCUGGCCGUCAACGAGUUCGGCUACGGCGAGCCGAGUGCACCCUCUGCUGCCAUGUCAGGCCAACAUGACACCCCGUUUUAUGAGGAGUGGUGGUUUCUCAUCGUGCUGGCGUUGUGUGGCCUGAUUCUGCUGUUGCUGGUGGUUUUCGGUCUCGUCUUGCACGGACAGAACAGGAAGUACAAGAGCUGUGGAACAGACAGCGAGUGCGAAGAGGAGCCGAUCAAACACUCGUUCGUGAAUCACUACAUGAGCGACCCAUCAUACUUCAACUCGUGGAAGCGGCAGCAGAAGGGGCUGAAGCAGACGCUGGCCUGUUCCUAUGAUGAAUGUGCCAGCGGGGACACCGAAUCCUACUAUCAGACAGUGGUCACACAGCACAGCGUUGGCGGGGUCUACACCCCCGCCGGCCAGCCCGCACCAGGCUCACGGACUCCCGUCACAGGCUUCUCCUCGUUCGUGUGA
ensembl:lncRNA